AGUUUGAAAUUUAGUGAAAUUCUUGAGAUUAUUGCCAUUUUUUAUGUACCUUGACAAAAGAAUGGUGAAUAGUGAGAUUGGGUGCAUCAGCUGCUACUCAGAUUGUGAAGAUAUUGAGGUAAUCGUUAGUGCAUAUUUCUUUGCUUUUGUAUUUUUAACUUGUAGAACAGUACCUGGAUAGUAGAUGCAUCAGACGGCGGCAUAGACAACACGCUAUCACAAAUCAGAUGAAGGGGGUAGUUCAUGUGGCGGUUACAAAUUCACAUUCACAGAAUGAGUUAGAUUCCCACAAGAGCUGACUAGGUUUCAUAGUUGGUGGGACCCACACAUCAAAAGCAUGAUAUGGUAGUGAUUUUUCUCAGGUGGAUGGUGGACAUCAGUGCGCUUCUAUCUGAGAUUUGAGCAGUGGCAUGUUGAAACUCUUUGAGUUGUCAGGUGGGUCCCAUGCGUUUGGAAAAUGGAUGGUUGAAAAGAUUCAAGCAAUGAGAUGGUUUUGCAACCAAAUUUUAAGGCCGGUUAAGGUGAUCAGAAAGGCCAAGUCAGACUUGAUUUCCUGGCCAUUGUUUUUCAGACCAUUUUGUUAAUGUAAACAUAAUAACGUUGACGCUUUCUCGUCGUAAUUGUUGUAAUUCGUAAAGCAAUUUUUAUAUCUCUGUUGUUUUUUUUUUGCUGGACAGGUUAGAAAUUUUCUCGUGUGGUUAGUGUGUAGUAGUUGAACUAAUGCCAGAGGGCAGUGACCAUGUUACCCUAGUGGUUGAACUAAUGAUGUAUUAGAGAUGUUGAUCCCUAAUACAUAAUGAGCUCUUCUUAAAAAUAAUUAUGUAUUGGAUAUCAAUAUCUCUAAUCCAUAGUUACUGUUAACUAAAAUGAAAUUAACUUAUCUAUUGCCAUCUACCAAACAGGCCCUUAGCCUUAUAUUCUACUCUUAAACUUGACUUGGGUUUGGUGGGGAAUUCGGGUUAGUUCACCCCAACUCAAAUUACAAUUAAAGCGGUCAAGCUUGCUAAAUUUUAAGUGCGUCGGGUCAAGCCACUGAGUAAUGGGUUGUGGGUUGGAUCAGGCCAGGCUAGAAUUCUUGGUCAGAUUAGUAAACGGUUGGGCUCGACCCGAACCCAAUCCAUUGCCACGUCAGCUUCAAACAUGUCAAAAUUGGAUUGUGAUUCCCAAAUAUUUCCCAAAAAGGGAGCUGCAUAAAUGAAUCUUCCUAACUUUUGCGUGCCGGAAAAGCCAAAGAAAACCAUUAGACAAAAAAAAUAAAAAAUAAAAAAAAAACAGAGUCUGCCAUUCAACAGACGAACCUACUUUUGAAUAAGGUAUGUAUGCAACAGAAGAAAGCAUUUUUAAUCAGAAAGACCCGCCACAUUACACGGAAGAUUUCCCUUCAUUACAACAUACUACAAUCUACACCCCUUUUUUUUAA